rnacentral:rRNA from 1 species
UGGGGAAUAUUGGACAAUGGGGGCAACCCUGAUCCAGCAAUGCCGCGUGUGUGAAGAAGGUCUUCGGAUUGUAAAGCACUUUCGACGGGGACGAUGAUGACGGUACCCGUAGAAGAAGCCCCGGCUAACUUCGUGCCAGCAGCCGCGGUAAUACGAAGGGGGCUAGCGUUGCUCGGAAUGACUGGGCGUAAAGGGCGUGUAGGCGGUUUGUACAGUCAGAUGUGAAAUCCCCGGGCUUAACCUGGGAGCUGCAUUUGAUACGUGCAGACUAGAGUGUGAGAGGGGGUUGUGGAAUUCCCAGUGUAGAGGUGAAAUUCGUAGAUAUUGGGAAGAACACCGGUGGCGAAGGCGGCAACCUGGCUC